rnacentral:tRNA from 1 species
GGAUAUAGCUCAGUGGUAGAGCACAUGCUUAAGAUGCAGGAACUCCUGGGUUCAAUCCCCAGUACUUCCA